UCCGGAGCUAAACGUGUUUAAGUCGACCGCGUGGGGAGUACGGCACGCAAGGUUAAAACUCAAAUGAAUUGUCGGGGGCCCCGCACAAGCGGUGGAGCAUGUGGUUUAAUUCGAUGCAACGCGAAGAACCUUACCUGGUCUUGACAUCCACGGAAGUUUUCAGAGAUGAGAAUGUGCCUUCGGGAACCGUGAGACAGGUGCUGCAUGGCUGUCGUCAGCUCGUGUUGUGAAAUGUUGGGUUAAGUCCCGCAACGAGCGCAACCCUUAUCCUUUGUUGCCAGCGGUCCGGCCGGGAACUCAAAGGAGACUGCCAGUGAUAAACUGGAGGAAGGUGGGGAUGACGUCAAGUCAUCAUGGCCCUUACGACCAGGGUGCACACGUGCUACAAUGGCGCAUACAAAGAGAAGCGACCUCGCGAGAGCAAGCGGACCUCAUAAAGUGCGUCGUAGUCCGGAUUGGAGUCUGCAACUCGACUCCAUGAAGUCGGAAUCGUUAGUAAUCGAGGAUCAGAACGCCGCGGUGAAUACGUUCCCCCCCCUUUUUAGACCGCCCGUCACACCAUGGGAGUGGGUAGCAAAAGAAGUAGGUAGAUUAACGUACGGAGGG
rnacentral:rRNA from 1 species